rnacentral:rRNA from 1 species
CGCGUAGGCGGUCUUUUAAGUCAGAUGUGAAAGCCCGGGGCUUAACCUCGGAAGUGCAUUUGAAACUAAAGGACUUGAGUAUGGGAGAGGGAAGUGGAAUUCCUGGUGUAGAGGUGAAAUUCGUAGAUAUCAGGAGGAACACCGGUGGCGAAGGCGACUUCCUGGACCAAUACUGACGCUGAGGCGCGAAGGCGUGGGGAGCAAACAG